rnacentral:rRNA from 1 species
UACGUAGGGUGCGAGCGUUAAUCGGAAUUACUGGGCGUAAAGCGUGCGCAGGCGGUUUGGCAAGUCAGAUGUGAAAUCCCCGAGCUCAACUUGGGAACUGCGUUUGAAACUGCCAGACUAGAAUAUGUCAGAGGGGGGUAGAAUUCCACGUGUAGCAGUGAAAUGCGUAGAGAUGUGGAGGAAUACCAAUGGCGAAGGCAGCCCCCUGGGAUAAUAUUGACGCUCAUGCACGAAAGCGUGGGGAGCAAAC